rnacentral:lncRNA from 1 species
UUAGUACUCAUCUUUCAAAAGUAUUAUAACAGAAAGACAACAUCUCAAAGGUUGAAAAACUGGUACAAAUUCCCACUGCUCGGCAAACAUGUGCAUAAUGUAUUCACAAAAGAACAUCAUCUUACUGAAUUGGGAACUUCAAAUAAAUGCCUUACCGCUCUGCGAACUUUUCCAUAAUGCGAUCUAUCUUCUGAGCUUCCCCUGGAAGCCGAAACCCUUUAAGAAACUCACGAAUUGCUAAAUCAAAUUUCAUUCCAGAAAAAUUAAUUGAGUCAACAUAAGCAUGCAUGACAGCAACAGGAAACUCCAAAUCAAAUUUCAUUCCAGAAAAAUUCAUUGAGUCAACAUAAGCAUGCAUGACAGCAACAGGAAACUCCUCAUGCUGGCCCAAGUAGUCACCAAUAAUAGCCU